UACAGAGGGUGCAAGCGUUAAUCGGAAUUACUGGGCGUAAAGGGCUCGUAGGUGGCCAACUAAGUCAGACGUGAAAUCCCUCAGCUUAACUUGGGAACUGCAUCCGAUACUGGAUGGCUUGAAUCCGGGAGAGGGAUGCAGAAUUCCAGGUGUAGCGGUGAAAUGCGUAGAUAUCUGGAGGAAUACCGGUGGCGAAGGCGGCAUCCUGGACCGGCAUUGACGCUGAGGAGCGAAAGCUAGGGGAGCAAACGGG
rnacentral:rRNA from 1 species